CUCUCCCUCUCUCCCUCUCUCUUAACCGAUCUGAAAACCUUAUUCUUUUUCGGCUCAAAUCUAUGCAUUCCAGUGAGUUUUUGAGAAAAGUACUCCGAUUAAUCAAUUCUUUAUCAUCCAAAUCUUCUUUUUACCAAACAAAUUUCCUCAAAACUGAUUCUCAUUUUUUUGGGUUUUCUGAGAUAUUAUCUCUGAGUUUUUUUUUUUUUAAUUUAUCAAAUGAUCUAAUAUGUUCUAAAUGUUCCUUCGAUCGAUUUCUUAAAAGAGCUUCUAUUUUUUUAUCUGUCGAAUGUUUUAAGUAUUUUUUUUUUAAAAAAGGGCUUCUUAAAUCUUUUAAAGAUCCUCAUAAUUUUCUAUUAAAU
rnacentral:lncRNA from 1 species